GGUUAUGAAAAGAGAAUUGGUAAAGGAGGUGGUCAAAAAGUUCAAAUUUCUAGUUAUUAGUCAUGGGAAUGGAAGGAAGGGAGAAGAGGGUGGGUGGAAAGAAAGAAAGAGGAAUUUAUUUAAGUUUAAAGGCUUACAAAACUAGUCAAAGAUUUCUUAAUGAGCAAAUUGGUUUUUUAGGUUAUCAUUGUUUUGUUUUCUCAUUACUUUUUUUUCUAAUUUAAACAGGCAUUGGAAAAGUGAAAAGAAAACCCAGUGUGCCAGAUUCUGCAUCUCCUGCUGAUGAUAGCUUUGUUGACCCAGGGGAACGUCUCUAUGACCUCAACAUGCCUGCAUUUGUGAAAUUUAACUACAUGGCAGAGAGAGAGGAUGAAUUAUCAUUGAUAAAAGGGACGAAGGUGAUCGUCAUGGAGAAGUGCAGUGAUGGGUGGUGGCGAGGUAGCUACAAUGGACAAGUUGGAUGGUUCCCUUCAAACUAUGUAACUGAGGAAGGUGACAGUCCUUUGGGUGACCAUGUGGGUUCUCUGUCAGAGAAAUUAGCAGCAGUCGUCAAUAACCUAAAUACUGGGCAAGUGUUGCAUGUGGUACAGGCUCUUUACCCAUUCAGCUCAUCCAAUGAUGAAGAACUUAAUUUUGAGAAAGGAGAUGUAAUGGAUGUUCUUGAAAAACCUGAAAAUGACCCCGAGUGGUGGAAAUGUAGGAAGAUCAAUGGAAUGGUUGGUCUGGUGCCAAAAAACUACGUUACCAUUAUGCAGAAUAAUCCAUUAACCUCGGGUUUGGAACCAUCACCUCCACAGUGUGAUUACAUUAGGCCUUCACUCACUGGAAAGUUUGCUGGCAAUCCUUGGUAUUACGGGAAAGUCACCAGGCAUCAAGCAGAAAUGGCAUUAAAUGAAAGGGGGCAUGAAGGUGAUUUCCUCAUUCGUGAUAGUGAGUCUUCGGUAAGUUGUUUUUCAAAGGUAAAUGGAAGUAAAGCACUGG